GGCAGUGUACUUCAGCCAUGUGUGAAGCGGUUAAAGUCGUCCUCCGUAAUUUUCUUUCACAGCAUGGUCUGUUGCCAUCUUGUGGCUGAUUUACCUGUGCUGUACUGAAAACGUGAAUAAAAUCAGCGUAUCAAUCUCGGUUUUCUCUUUUGUAAACAACACUGUUUAAGGUGGGAAGGUCCCCUGAUUUUCUCCAGGAGCUGCAGGAUACUCAGGCAGAAAUGGACACAGGAAUUGCUACCAGUGAGAAAAAGCUCUGCUCAAAGGAAAAGUGCAGAAGAAACCCUUGGGUCCAGUACCAAACCCUAAUGAAGACUACCAUCAAUUCAAUAAGCUCAGUAUGACACUUUCUUAAUGACUUUAUGCCCUUCGUCAUAAUGCAGCCACAAAACGAAGUGAUAUUCUGAGUGCAGCAAGAAGAUUAAUUCCAACUCUGCAUGCUAAGAGAAAAAUCCACGGCUCUGUCAUUGUGUAAACAAAAAAUGUAAAUAAAGGAAAAAUUAAGAUGUUU
ensembl:lncRNA